CGCAAUUAUCACAUCACUAGCAAACGAAGUCGGAGUCGGAUUCGGAGUCGGAGUCUCAAGUCGGAGGCGGCAGCGACGCGAUGUCGGCUUUAGCUUUAAUUUAUGAACUGCGGCAAGUGGAUGUGGAACUUGUGGGUAGCUUGCAACCGGGUGGCCACUGAGGCGCAUAGCAUUGGGGAAUCUUUCGCAGAAGACGUAGAAGAAGUGUUUUCACUUUACUUGCAGCUCAAGGUGAGCAGCGAUUUGUAGCGGCAAAUGAGGCAGGUGUCAGUAAAUUUAGUAGAAGGCUGUCUGGCUUUGUUUGCCGUCGUUGCUGCUAAUAAAAAUGCUAAAGCAUCUAGAAGGCGGCGAGACCGAGGCACUCUCUCAACGCGUCUCUUAAUAAAUUGACAACGAUCCAAUUUCAUAAUGAAAUUUUUGCGGCUGUCAGCCUUCAAUUGAAUCGGAAAAACAAAACAGCGACCAAAAGUGAUACGUUGAAUUUGGGUGGGGAGAAGCGGGAGGGGAAUGCCAUGAAGAAUAACAGAAAUAACGCACAGAGAGCGAGAUCCAAGAAUUCCCCCAUGAAGAAAUCCAGCUGACAGUCGUCCCCAUUUCACUCCCCGCAGUCCCCUCUGAACCAUCUACUCUGCUCGCAACCCCAACGAAACUUGCACAGAAUGUGGCAUGAUGUUUACGUAUGUAUGUAUUUGUGUGCGUUGCGAGUUGUUGUUCCUUAUAUUUUUGUGUAUGUAGUUAUAUCGAGUAAACGAAAAACAAAAACUUUUUUCCACUUGAGUAACUUAAGUGCCAAUUCCUCCAAAAACAAAACAACAACAACAAACUGAAGACCAAAAAAAAAAACAAGAGAAAGAAUUGAAGGCAGCAGAAAAACCAAGUGGAAGAAGAAAAAAACAAAAACAACAAAAUAACAGCAGAAGAUGAGCACAUGAACAUUUUUUUAAUAGGGGGACGCCGACAAAAUUCUAUUGGUUUCAAUACAAAAAUCGAUAGCACAUCAAGUUGA